rnacentral:lncRNA from 1 species
UUUUAGGUUACAAGUUGAUUUUGUUUGUAGUUACCACCCUUCAAAUAGUUGCGUUGAUAUUGAAUACUUAGGUUACUUUACAUUGUAUUAUCAUGUAUUCAUUAGCUAAACAAGCCACAAUUGGGAAAACGUAAAUUUUUUGGUAUUCAUAAGUUUCCAUAUGAGUUGAUCAGGAUCCUUGAAUUCUUUAUCGUGCCUCCAUUGAGUUCAAUGCUAAAUUUUCAGAAAAAUAAAAGAACUAUAUUCAUAUCAGCCAAGUUAGAAUGUAGCAUAGUAUAUUUGUUGGGUCACACCAAUUUGAUAGAGAGUGAUUGACAGAUGGAGACAUAAUGUGAUUUGGCAAGAUGUGAUUGAAUGAAAAAAUUGAUUGUAUUUAAAACAAUUCAAAAAUGAAGUGUCAUGUGACAUUAUGCCAAUAAUUACGUCAAUAUGGCAUUACUCCUCGUAACUCGUAUUAAAGCUUCUUUAAAGCUUUUAAAUUCUUUUUUUUCACACCACUCAUUUCAUUGCUAGAUUAAUAGAAUGAUCCAAAAUAAUUAGAUUCUUAAUAGGUGAGCAUCCACAUUAUGCUAUAUUAGUUGGUCUAUUAUUUCCUCGUGGCGCAUUUAAAGUUCCUUGAUGUGUCUCUUAAAACUUGUUGAAAUAUGACUGCCGACAUACCAUUCAAGACUAAAUUUCAAUGUUAUAAUCUCUUGUUCUAGUGCCCCCUUAAAAUCCAUUUGAUCAGGGGUGGAUAUACAGAAUGGUCCAAAAUAGUUAGAUUCUUAAUAGAUGAGCACCCACAUUAUACUAUAUUAGUUUGGUCUAUUAUUUCCUCGUGACGCAUUUAAAGCUCCUUGAUGUAUCUGUUAAAACUUGUUGAUAUAUGAUUGCCGACAUACUAUUCAAGACAAAAUUUCAAUGUCACAAUUUCUUGUUCUAGUGCCCCUUUAAAACCCAUUUGAAUCAGGGGCGGAUUUAUGGAGGGUUACCUGCCCCCAUAAUAAAUUUGAAAUUCAAUAUAUUGCCCAAAUUUUUCACAGCAUACCAUAAAGGUCAUGGCAUAUCAGUAGCUGUACUGUGAAUAAUUGUAUUAUAAAAUGAUAGAUUGGGUACUAACAUCAAUAGGUAUAAUCUAUAAACAUGGCAGCAAAUCUUUAAAUAAGAAAAAGAAAUCAUAAUUGCAAAAACAGACAUGUAAAUUUUAUUUGCAACUUGACUUAUAAUUUUAUUUAUACAUCCUUGCACUUGGAUCAGUCAUGAAGUAGAAGAAAGUUGUAAAGACAUCUGACUUAUAUGGAAUUAUCCAUGGUUAAAAUUUCUCUUGCUUUAAUCUUGUUUAUUGUUUGUUUAUAUAAUACCUCCUUGUUGAUGUUUGAAAUACAGAUCUUAAUUUUUCCGUUGAAAUUCCACUGCUUUUGUAGGAUGCUAAUUGCUACUGCAAAUGAUAUCUCAAAUGAAACUUUUGACAUUAAAUGUUAUCCAAAAUUAUUUUUCAAGACAGAAAGUGGAAAUAUUUUGCUGUAUGAAGGAGAUAGAAUGAAGGAAGAACCAGAAUCAAGAAAAGAGAAGCUGUAAUUUAGGUAACUAAAUUUCAAAUACGAAUCAUUUGUUUAGGCAUUCUGGUGCGGGAAAGGAGCUUUUGGUUUUAAUUCUUGUCACGUUUUAUAAAUAUUGGUUCUCUUCUUUUUGCAGAUGGAGCAUCAUUAUCUUUGGCAAGUCAUUUCGUGAAAACAAUCGAGGAUGAUUUUAGCAUCUCGAGAAACCGGGAAAGAAAUCCUUCAUUGAUGAGAAUCUUCUCCUCCUCAAAACCUCCCAACCCCUCUCCUUUCUCCCUUGUGGCAUUUUCCGAUACCUAGAAUUAGAUAUUAAAAUAAAAGCAAGAAUCUCGUUUGGGAUACAAAUGCUAGUAUUAUUCAGGCGAACAUUCUUGACUAUUUUGUGCUCCUUAGCCCAACAUAUCAUUUUCUCCCUACAAAUUGUAUAUGGGCAAUUAUACCUUUCAGUAAGGAUUGAUGCCAAUAGCUGAAAUCUUGUAUAUGGGCAAUUAUACGGAUUGAUGCCAAUAGCUGAAAUCUUGGUAAUUGGUAUUACUAAAGUGAAGUUAUAUGUGGGUUUGUUUCAUCUUUCGUGCAUGAAUUAUGCGCACUUCAAUAUUCGAAGUUACACUGCACGUAUAUGCUAGCAAAACAUUUCGCAAGUAAUACUGUCAUUCUAUUACUGUUAAAUUAGAGCGAGUACGAAUUCAGGACAUGGAAAAAAUAAUAUUAGGACACAGGCAAUUCUUGAAUUCUGGUUCUUCUGUCUGAAUCCUCAGGCGAUGAAGCCUUCCUCUUGUUAGUAUUGUUGUUGUGAUCACUAUCUAUUAUGGUGUCAUGAAUGUUAGUUGUAUUAAGGAGGUGGGAAUGAAGUUUCCUCAUAUCUGCUAAUUUGACAGGUUUCAACAGGAAUUCUUCUGCUCCUCCUUCCAAGCACCUGCUUCAUUACAAUCGAAUGCAUUGAUGUAUCAGCAAAAUCAAUGCAUAGUGAAUAAUCAAGAGAAAGCUAGUAAAAGACAAGUUUUAGGUUACAAGUUGAUUUUGUUUGUAGUUACCACCCUUCAAAUAGUUGCGUUGAUAUUGAAUACUUAGGUUACUUUACAUUGUAUUAUCAUGUAUUCAUUAGCUAAACAAGCCACAAUUGGGAAAACGUAAAUUUUUUGGUAUUCAUAAGUUUCCAUAUGAGUUGAUCAGGAUCCUUGAAUUCUUUAUCGUGCCUCCAUUGAGUUCAAUGCUAAAUUUCCAGAAAUAUAAAAGACAACUAGAUUCAUAGCAGCCAAGUUAGAAUGUAGCAUGGUAUAUUUGUUGGGUCACACCACUUUGAUAUAAAGUGAUUGACAGAUGGAGACAUAAUGUGAUUUGGCAAGAUGUGAUUGAAUGAAAAAAUUGAUUGUAUUUAAAACAAUUCAAAAAUGAAGUGUCAUGUGACAUUAUGCCAAUAAUUACGUCAAUAUGGCAUUACUCCUCGUAACUCGUAUUAAAGCUUCUUUAAAGCUUUUAAAUUCUUUUUUUUCACACCACUCAUUUCAUUGCUAGAUUUAUAGAAUGAUCCAAAAUAAUUAGAUUCUUAAUAG